rnacentral:rRNA from 1 species
UACAGAGGUGGCAAGCGUUGUUCGGAAUUACUGGGCGUAAAGGGCGCGUAGGCGGCCUUCUAAGUCAGACGUGAAAUCCCCCGGCUUAACCUGGGAACUGCGUCUGAUACUGGAGGGCCUGAGUGCGGGAGAGGGAUGUGGAAUUCCAGGUGUAGCGGUGAAAUGCGUAGAUAUCUGGAGGAACACCGGUGGCGAAGGCGGCAUCCUGGACCGACACUGACGCUGAGGCGCGAAAGCUAGGGUAGCAAACGGG